rnacentral:rRNA from 1 species
UACGAAGGGGGCUAGCGUUGCUCGGAAUUACUGGGCGUAAAGCGCACGUAGGCGGCUCUUUAAGUCGGAGGUGAAAUCCUGGAGCUCAACUCCAGAACUGCCUUCGAUACUGAAGAGCUUGAGUCCGGGAGAGGUGAGUGGAACUGCGAGUGUAGAGGUGAAAUUCGUAGAUAUUCGCAAGAACACCAGUGGCGAAGGCGGCUCACUGGCCCGGUACUGACGCUGAGGUGCGAAAGCGUGGGGAGCAAACAGG